rnacentral:lncRNA from 1 species
AUCUGAGGAAAGGGGCUGCUUUCUGUCCUCUGUGGGCAAAGACUACUUGUGUGAGGGUGGCCAGCUUCAGUUUCCUUCAGCCAGAUCCUCUGACCAAGUGAGUCCACCAGGCUCCAGGGGUGCUGUGCCCUUUUGCUCAAGGAUCUGGGGAGGUUGCUGUGGAAUACUGCUGGGGCAGAAUCAGGUCAGUUGGUGAGAAGGGUCCAAGACUUUCUUUCCCUUUCAGUACAGUGUGCUUGCUUCAAUCCUAGCAUCGGCUACUGUGCACACAGGGAAAGGUUUUAGUUCCAUUCAAACAAAGAGGAUUUCUUUUCCAGAAUGACAUAGUAAAUAAGACAGGAGGGAAGGAAAGACUUCAGUCUGUCUGCCGGAAUCGGGUCUUCACUAGGGGAGCAGCAGAGGGGACAAGUCAGAAGGUCCCUCCUCCGUUGCUAGACGUUGAAUAAGGGUAUGAUUGGAGCCUUCAUUGCCUCUGACUGCAUAGGGGGAUGGUGGCAGUGAGUGAGGUUGGGUAGAGGCGUCUCUGCCUUAUCUUUCCUCAUCAUUUUUUUUCUCAAGAGUAUUUACCUGCAGGGCUGCUCAAGAGGGGUGGCCCUGUGCUCUCCGGAUGGCGUAUGCAGGGAACAUAGUAGCUCUGCAGAUAGAUCCUGCCCUCUCUGGAUGGAGUAUGCAGGGAACAUAGCUCUGCAGAUAGAUCCUGCCUUCUGUGUCUGAGCACAGAUGUGUGUUGGGUUCGCCUUUUGGAAUGCAGAAAACAUCGGUAGCAACUGGAUUGGGUUUGAUGUUUCUUGGCUGCCCUGCUUGUUUGAUAUCACUGGGGUCCCCAGGGAAAUCUUAUCAGAAGAACAGGACUCCUAGCCAGGUGGGUUAGGUAGCUGGGCUUCCGGUGUGCUUUAUAAAAAGCCUAGCAACAGAGGAGGGACCUCUUGGGUUUUCCUUUGCAUUUCUGGUUUGUGGUCAUAUCACUCAAUGAUUUACAUCUGCCCGAAGUGUCACUAGUCGUGACACUAGUUGACUUGAGGGCAGAAGUAUUCACCCUUUCUGACCCUGAUUUUCCUUCUCAGUUUUUGUCUCUGUCUGUCUGUCUGUCUGUCUCUCUCUCUCUCACACACACACACACACACACACAUCACCAGAGUCACUCCUUUGAGCCUUGUCUCCAGGCAUGAUGGCUUCCAGCAAGCCUUCUGGUGACUUCCAGGCUGACCUAGAUGAACCUCUUUCUUGUCACAUCCAUUUCCCCAUCUGAAUAAAGCAAGAGUCCAAAGGGGUGGCUGCAUCCGGAGGGAAUACACAAGACUGUCAUCUGUCCUAGUCAUCACUCUUCCCCCACCCAGAGAAGUUCCCAAGAAGGAAAGAGAGACAAUUGCCCCUAAAAGCUUACAUACAGAUAAACACCAUUACCACGGCUGUGGCUACGAACGCAGGGAAGGGGCCGAUGUUAUGAGGUCUGCCCUCUACUUGUUGGUUUUAGAACGGAAGAUAGUACUUGGUUUCACCAGAAAUGAAUCUCUCUGUUCUCCUUCCUCUUUCUCAUUCCGUCUACAUUUUGCUCAUUACAGCAGACAAAGCCACAUAAAAGCAUCUUAGUAAGAAUACUACUAGAGCAGCUCCAGUCUUGUCUUGAGGGAUCUGUUGCUUCUCCCUUUGAAAGUUGCCUGGUUAUUUAGAUGUGCUCUUCCAUGCACUUAGAAUCGUUAAGCAUCUUUGGUAACAAUUACUGCUUUGUUACAACCAUCUUCGGCCAUCACAUGGGACUGACCCACGCUUCCUUGAGGCUGCUGUAUUGAGGAAGUGUGUAGCCCAACUCUCUAGAGCCAGUGCUGGCCUGUGAUUGGGCGAAUAGCUGUGGCCAGAGCUCAUCUGCCCAGCAAUGCUAUUUUGGGCCUGAUGUUCCCUAGGGUUGCAAUAUAGCUUUACUUCCCAGUCGUGUUUUCCUUUCUCACAGUAUUUAUUAUUUGUUUUUUAAAAAGUGCUCCCUUGAUAAAAAUGUUUAGCGCAAGAGCUAAUUAUCAUCUGCCAAGUAAUAAAUAAAAAUUUAAAAUUCCGGCUUUGUAUUCCCAGGCCAGAAAUGCUCUCUUGUGCUGUCACAAACGGCCUUGCUCAGUUUCUUUCCGUCAAGGUCUCUACUGAGCUCCCUAAGCCCCCAGGAAGCCAGGCUCUGCAUUCUGCUCUCCCCUGGACCCUUGGGUGACUCCGAUCUUUCUGCCUGAAUAGCCUAGCAGCCAUUCUGCAUCCUCACCGAGGCUCCAUGUUCUGGCUCUAAAGUGUGGCUGUGGAGAAGUACAGGGGCAAGCAGGGCAUAAAAAUGGUAGCUCCUCUCACUGAGCAGGGUUGGGUUGCUGUGGACCAGGGCUAGUUUCCUGCCUACAGUGCUCUCUGCCGGUGCUCUUUCUUGGUGUUCUCCCUAGGUGUUCUUCCCUGGUGCUCUCGCUCAGUACUCUCCCUCAGUGCUGUCUGUCAGUGCUCUCCCUCAGUACCCUCCCUCAGUUCUGUCUAUCAGUGCUCUCCCUCAGUGCUGUCUGUCAGUGUUCUCCCUCAGUGCUCUCCCUUAGUACCCUCUCUUAGUGCUGUCUGUCAGUGCUGUCUGUCAGUUCUCCCCCUCAGUGCUCUCCCUCAGUGCUGUGGUGCUGUCUGUCAGUGCUAUCAGUCAGUGCUCUCCCUCAGUGCUUUCCCUGAGAGCUUCCCUUGCCUUUCUACUGACAACAGAAUCUCACCAGAAGCAGGAGGAGCCAGUGAAAUGAGGCUGUACAGAAGUGAAAGAUGGCAACAACAGGGGCAUGCCCUGCUGGUCAGCCGUGAGGAGGCAGCAGGUGCCAAAGCCCCAGAUUAAGGGCUGGAAGCUCAGGGCUCCAGUUAGCCCACUGAGCAGAGUCACCAUCUCCACUGGCCACAGUAUAUUGACACCAGGGCUGCUGUGGGUCACAGCAGGCCAUGGACCUGCAGGGGGCGGGUGUGCUUCAUGGGGCUAAUACAGUCGUCAUGGCUGGCCCAUGCUGGGUUCCAAGAGAAGAGGUGUUUUGUGAGUUGUGACCACGGCCUUUGUGUAUAGUAGUUUCUGGGUCUGCUUCAAGAAGAUGCCACGUGGGCCAAAUGUGGUCAUUGGCACGAGAGACUUUAGAUUCUCUUGGGCUCUCUCAUGCUAAAUUUAACUUGGGUAUUCCAUUAACUGAGCUCAGCUCAGCUGCCUGUGGUAUUUUUGACUGCCCGGGACUAAUGUGCAGAUCUAGGCUGUACUUGUGGAAGACAUGAAGCUCAGGCUGGACCCUUCAUCCCACUGGGGGGCAGAGAAUGCAGAUCCCAAGUGAGGGCUUUGUGUACGUUUCUCUCAUUAAAGUUUUUUUAAAUACU